UCGUUGUAAGCAGCAGCAGCUGUAAAAUCAAUGAGCCCUGCUAUCUGUGUUCAAGCAGCAAUGGGUCUUUCCCAUAUCUGAAUUGAUUUGACCAUUACCAACUAGCCAUUUGGGUGCUAUUAGCAAUCAAUGAUCGUGUUAUGAACUAGCUAAUCUCCACAAAAUCCGGUCCAUGUCCCAGAAGGAGCCCUUCAAAAACUUAAAGAUAUGAUCAAUUAAAAGUCUUCAGUUUUCAAGAUUUUCCAGACAUUGUUUAGCAAGCAUAGCAAUAUGCUAAUAUUACAAUUCUAGAUCUGCACCAUUCCAUG
rnacentral:lncRNA from 1 species